rnacentral:misc_RNA from 1 species
UAUUCUCAACCUAGCAAAGCUUGCUUUGCUAGGCUUGGAUGUGAGGGCUUUGCUGGCUUCCAUUGAGUUGGAUGGUCUGCUCCCUUCAAAUUCAUUAGUGGGAUCCUUUGUGGAUGGUCACUUGGUGUGAUAAUUAUCUACGCCGCCUGACUGAAGCAAGACUUGUGGGAACCUGCUUAUAACUGUCCUCUCGGGGACUAUCUUGACUU